CGGAUUGAAGGAGCUGGACCACGUACUUCAUAUCGUUCAGACCCAACACGUGCUCAUGAGACACACCUGACACACGGAGAGAGACAAGUCUAAAUGUUACAGAGCGGCGCUGUGGACCCCGGGGUCUUUGGCUGAGAUGUCUCGAAGCAGGUCGCCCACGGUGGUCAACAUGGGCGUCAGGGUGAAGCGAGACGGUUGACCUGCAGGGAGACGCACCGACAGGACCGGGCGGCCCAGGCUGUAAUGAAGAGACACAUCUGAAAGAGAGAGAGAGAGACACACAUACAGUACUUACACCUUUACCAUUGGUUUAAUAAUUGAAGUUUACAUAUUAGACAAAAUACAACAUAUUGAUUAACGGUUGGACACACAGCCCCAUAGCUGUUUUUAUGCUAAGCUAGGCUAACCAUGUCCUGUUUCCAGCUCUGCACUAAAUGCAUCAUAACAAAAACAAAUGCUUGAUUUUAUUUACAUCACUUUCAUGUGACUUUGGAAAAAAGAGAGAGUCACAGAGAGUUUACCUUUGGUCGGUGGUUCACUGCUGUAGCCGGAGAAGAAGCUGGUCGACCAGGCUGAACUGAACUGAGACACAAAAGGAAUCCUCACAGUCACACAUGUAUCGUGGAUACUGAUCCUGAUCCUGGUCUAUAAUUUACAACGAGCCUCAGGUACAUGCUGCACCUAUUGGCGGUGGUCUAGUGGCAGAAACUUGGACUAUGGGCAGAGAAGGUCUUUGGUUCGUCUCCGGUUCGACUCCACGGAGAGACAACAAAAGACGAACCUGGAUUGAUCUAUCCCAAAAUCCAAGAGUCUCCCUACCCUGUCUAGUGCCCCUGAGCAAGGCACCUUACUCCCCCAACAUCUGCUCCCCGAGCGCCGUUCAUGGUCGCUCACUGCUCUGUGUGUACUGCACCAGAUGGGUCAAAAGCAGAGAUUAAAUUUCCCUACCUGCAUGAGUGUGCCUUUGCAUGUCUGUGCCUGUGUUUGGGAUGAAUAAAUGGAUCUUAAUCUUAUUGCA